AAUGGGGGCAACCCUGAUCCAGCCAUGCCGCGUGAGUGAAGACGGCCUUAGGGUUGUAAAGCUCUUUCAGAUGUGAGGAUAAUGACAGUAACAUCAGAAGAAGCUCCGGCUAAAUUCGUGCCAGCAGCCGCGGUAAUACGAAUGGAGCGAGCGUUGUUCGGAAUCACUGGGCGUAAAGCGUAUGUAGGCGGAAUUGAAAGUCAGAAGUGAAAUCCCGGGGCUUAACCCCGGAACUGUUUUGAAACUUCAAUUCUAGAGUUCUGGAGAGGCAAGGGGAAUUCCGAGUGUAGAGGUGAAAUUCGCAGAUAUUCGGAGGAACACCAGUGGCGUAGGCGCCUUGCUGGACAGAUACUGACGCUGAGAUACGAAAGCGUGGGGAGCAAACAGGAUU
rnacentral:rRNA from 1 species